GACUCGUUAGCUCAGCAGGUAGAGCAAAUGACUUUUAAUCAUUGGGCCAAGGGUUCGAAUCCCUUACGAGUCACCA
rnacentral:tRNA from 1 species